rnacentral:misc_RNA from 1 species
AAUUUUAGAUUUUGAAAUUGCUUCAUGACAUUCAAAUGUAGUAAGGUCCAGUAAGACUGUUUGGUUUAUUUUUAACAAAAACGAAAACAACUUCCACGUGAAAACGAUACACGAGCAAUUUUUAUUUGGUUGAGUCACUCUUUCGUGAUAGAAAGAUGUUAUCGAAUGAGCAGCUGUACGAAAUAUUUUGAGAGUCAUUGUUAAACAUAUAUAUGAUAUAUUCAUAACAAAAUUAAAUCGUGAAAAGGUUUACUUUCCUUCAAUUAAGUUGUUUGAAAAUCGAGUUGUUUACAAUGCGGCCCACGACCAACAUAUUAAACAGCUGACUGCAACACAACUUUCUUUGCUCUUAAACAAGAUCGAGCGAAUAGUUAACAAUUAACAUGACAGAAGCCGUGAUGAUACGGGUCACAUCCUUUGUUUGUCUGAGUUUAGUUUUGUUCAACUUGUAUCUGCGGAGAUUUUGCUGUCUUUGCGCAACCAUUCAUGAAGAAGCAAAGAAAUCCUUUAAACUUCGGACCAAUUAUUAUGGAAAUGAAGACGUCGCUUUAUUUGAUUUAAAUCCUUUGUGAUGGCAAGUGGAGCCCAAACGUUAAUUGUUCUUCCAGUCAUAUGUGGAAAAAAGGGAUUAAAGCAAACAAUUUUGUGCGCACUGAUUGUUUAAGUACACUGUUUGCCCGCCGUUUACAUUACAUAAAAGUACGCGCUCGCACUUCUGGCUAUAAAAUCACAGCCGCGACUCAUACGGAUACUUAAAUGAAAAAAAAUUAAGCUAUUUUAAAUGGAGAUGCAAGGUUUUGACUUCAAGGCUACUUCAAGAUAAUGAGCUUUGCUUUUUUCAGAGGGGAAGACAUAUUUCCCAGAGGUCAGCUCAAGGUGCCACCGUAUCUACGCAAUUAUGCAAAAGCAACAGUUCGGCGUAACGAAGACGAAUACAGCACAGAGUACCAACAGUUGAGUUCUGGAUUGGAUGGCACGAUUCUGGGAAGAUCUCUAGGAAAAUCGGAUAGUCUUCCUUCUGUUAGCAAGCCAGGGAAAAGUAAUCCUUCUCUGGAGUCAGGAAACACAAAAGUAAAGCAAUUAGCAGCACCAGAGAAAGUUGACAAGUCAGUCGAGGUUGAAAAGACAGACAUGAAUAGAAACCAGCUUAAUGAAUUACAACGCUCGAUACAAACCCGAUUAACAGGUCCAGCACUCGAGAGUUUUGAUGUAUAUCCAUUAGCUGGCAUGCGGUGCACGGGACAACGCAUGAGUCUAGCGGAAUCCCAACAGAAUCUGCCUAAACGAGGAAGCUUACCCUCGAGUGGAGACGAAGCCGUAAAAGACAGUUUGAGUUGCGGGCAAGUCGUUAGCAACGGAGCAACCUCUACAACUUCACACUCUGUCUCUCUUAACAAGCUAUAUUCUUGCCUAAAGAAAAUGAAAGGUAGAAGAAACGAAGCUGGGCAAUACGAUGAUUUAGCAACGUUUGCCAUGAAUGGCCGUGAACCUGGUUUCAGAAGGGGUUAUUUCCAGAGAGCUUUUGCCUCAAACAAUACGAGCCCCGCUCAAACACGCGGUGAACGCGAAGAGAUAUUUUUGCUCCUUGGCGGCAAAUCGAAACCGGUGCGCUUUCAAAUCAAUCCAGAAGGUCUGAACUUGUUGGAAAAAGAAUGGCGCGUUGAACUGAAGUCCAGAGAUUCGAUAUUUUGUCAUUCGGACGAGGAAGGUUUGCAACUUUUACAAAAGUUUCGAGCACGUUUUCGAAGCAACCAAAGAACAAAUUUCCUGGAUAGGAAAACACCACUCUUGCCCGUACCAUGGGCACGCCACGUUGUCCAUAAAGGACGUAGUUUGAGUCCAGAGGAAAAAGAACAAUUGGAAGAGGACGAAAGUGGGCGAAAACUUUCGAUUCACGUCUAUCUGCCUAAUGCUGGAUGGGACGAACAAAGAAAUUCAACACCUUCGACACCAACGUUUUCACCGAGCAGAUGACAGACUAUAUAAGACGAAUACAACAAACCAAAUUAUUGGAGUUACUGUAAUCUGCAUGGUCGCUAAAGUUGCAGUUUAGUUUGUAUUUCUUAUGUCGAUGAAUUUAAUUGAAGUGCCUGUUUUUGCUGGCUAAAUAUAUUUUCAUUGGUUUGCAAUUGUUUUGACGUUGUUUGAGUCAAAGGUAACAUGCUAAUUUGGUAAAUAAAUUCAGUUUGCGCCAAAAAUGCUAAAACAACAAAAGGCCAAUUUCCAAGGCUUUUGUCGGAACUUAUGAUCUAUCUUUGGUGCAAAUUGAUUGUAAAUUAAAUCAAAAUAAAUGAAAUUAGGCAGUUGUUGAAAUGCUUCCGAGUCAAAUUAUUAAAAUUCAAUUUUACAGGCUUAACAAUGUGUGUGUUUUUAUUUUUGAAAUUAUGAAAGACAUUUCAGAACAACAAGAUAACAUAAACAUGUUCUGGCAAGAUUUAUAUUACAGGGAGUAUUUGAUAAAUAGCGGUCGUUACAAAACGGGAGCUUGCCGACAUAUAACUCCGCCGGCUUGAAAAGUGGUUCGCGUGUAUCGCGCGCGCAUGAUUGUGAAAGGAGAGGAAAAAACCCAAUUUCUGACGCUUGCGGGCGGUUGUUUUUAAAAUUCUCUCGCGAUGAACAGGGAUUAAUUUUCUUUUAGAUAGAGCGGAUCAAAUAUAGUUAAACUUCUACGAAAGUGAAGAGGUGAAAAACCGAAAAACAUGAAAAAUGUAGAAUUUUUAUCGACUUUCUGUUCCAUUCUUUCACUCUUCCAUAUAUAAAGCGGUGUUCUUUUUGCAAUGACCGGAUCAACUGCACCAACACAACAAAACAGGGAAACAUAAAAGACCUGACAAUAAUUAUCUCUCUUGAAAAUGAGUUUGAUAUGGAAACUGAUUUGAAAGUUACCGUAAUUUUUUCACAGGAAAUUAAAAGUAGCUUCGUUUCAAAAAAACAUCGAUUAGAUUUUAUCGCUGACACAGUGAUAUCAGAACGAAGGUUUUAAUAAAGCAAAAAAUAUCAGCUCUUAAAAGGUGGAUAUCUUCUCUUUUCUCGAUGUUGAAAUUACGUUGAGAAUGGUCGGUCGUUUUUGUGGCGCAUUAUGUAUAUGACGUAGCUAUGGCCUCAAGUAUAAAUGACUGUGGGAAAGGACACAUUUUGUGGUCUGUGUAGAAAACCUGUUUCUGAACAAAAUUAAAAGAAAAAAUUGCGGCCGCAUUCUUUAAACCGGUUCAUUUAAAGUGGCGAUAUUAAUGUCUUUAGCAUCAUAAUUUGAAAGGCGAAAUCUUAAGACGAAUUGCUCUUCUAAAUCUAAUGUUAUUAGACCUCUUCGCGUGGCUGACGAAGAUAUUGCUGCCCGUAGGGGUUUCACUGUUCUUUUAGUUAAAAGCGGAAGGUUUUGCGGUUUUCCCGUUUCCUCCGCGUUUCCCAUCUCAGGCAUCCCUGGAUUAAUAUCCUUCCAUGAUUCUGAUUUCCUUGUUUUGAUUUUUGGCAGAUGUUUAGGAAACGUUUUCUGACAGUCUCUAGUCUUCACGGGCCGCGCGGGAGUUGCGAAUUCGUCGGCCUGCUUGGAAUUUCGUCUUGGAAACGUUCUUGUUGUCAAAGGUGGUAACAACAAUGGUCGUUUUACACCAUUUUUUGUCAAGAAGUUUCUCUUCCCAUUGCAGUUUAAUCUCUCUUUGUCUGUUCGAGUGUUGUGGAACAACUCCUCUUUGUAGUAUUCGCGUAAAGACGAAGGCAAAGACAUGUGUUGUUCAUCUUGUAACCUUUUUUCCUUUCGCAGAUCCGUCGUCUUUGCGACUUUAUAGUUCGACGCAUCGUCGGCAACUGGGAAUCGACCGUUGUGCAAUGGCGGGUAAAAGUAAAGUGUAGCAAACACGUAAUCUCGGAUGUCGGGGAAGGACUGGGCGUAGAAAAACAAGCAAUAUGGCGGAUUCCACUGAGUUGUUUGAGCUGGAAAGCUUCGCCAUUAAGAAGGUUCCGCCGAAAGCAUACUACAUUCCUAAUUUCAUUUCAGAAGACGAGGAGAGACAUCUAUUAGAUCAGGUCAAUGGAGCUCCCAAGCCAAAAUGGACAAAGCUUUCUGGAAGGCGACUUCAAAACUGGGGUGGCUUACCUCACCCAAAGGUAACCAAACAAUACAACCACUUCAGGAAAGGUUGCCCUACAAAACCUUGAAAGUGUACGCGACAAUGCUGAGGUUUUAUGGGUAGCAUUUUCCUUUACUUGAUUGAUGGUCA